AAUGCUCUUUUGAACACAUCACUUCCCUGUACCCAUGGGACAAAGGCAACAGGAAGGGCUGCCACUCACAGGCCACACCUAUUCCUUAGUGAAGGAGAUCUGAGCAAAGGAGUACAAAUGCUUUGCACCCUGCCAGGCUUCAGGCAAUGUAGCACCUUUGUAGUCAGCCCAUGGGACUCUUUUGGAGGCUGUGCCUGGCAGCAAGGGGGAGAGAGAUCCUUAUUACUACUCUGAAUGCAACACGUUGUCUCAAAACCAUCUAUAGAGCUCCAGGCCCAGAGAUGUUCCCCUACCACAGAGGCUUACUGGUGUUUCGCAGGGUCCUGGUGGCGAAUGCAGCUGCCUCCCCUGCAGAGAGGCUGAGCCUGGUCGGAGCAAGAAGCUCGGCUGCACCGCUCACCUGCAGGAGAAGGACCCAUCACUCCGUGCUGGUACCGUUGUCAGCAGUGCUCUUGCCGAUUGCAAGACUGGUGGAAGCAUCAAAGGGGUGCCCUUGGAAUGUGUGCCUAAUGAUGAUCAAUGAAAAUAGAAGCCCUGUUGCAGCGAGACUCAUGAGGUCCUGCUCACAGCUGGCACACAGAGGCAUGGCUGUAAAAAGAAGAUGCUGGGCAUCAGGACUAAUUGUCCCACCAGAUUCCUCCUCACCUUGGAAAACCCUUGUCUCCUCCCAGCAGGGGAGAUGGGCCGCCUGUCCUGGUGUGGAUACUGGUAUGCCAGCCAGAUGCUCUGCGAGCAGAUAAUGUGAACCUCAAGGAAAGCAGAGAGAUGGAAGCAAGAGAGGCACGUGGGAGGACUAAUCCCAGAGGAUACUAUGAUCUGCUGAGUUUUCAGUUUGAAGUUCUGGAGCUGAAGGGUUGCAUUCCCUGGUGGACUAGAAAUAGCUGCAGAUAUGAAGCUUGACAUUAAUGCACUGUGGUUUAAAUCUUUGUGUGCUCACAAACCAGGAGUCAUCGUAGUUACAUGGCACAAUGAAAUGUGCAGGCCAAAACAAAUAAAUGCUCUUAGUCUGGAAAGGGAAUAGAAGCA
rnacentral:lncRNA from 1 species